CCUACGGGAGGCAGCAGUGAGGAAUAUUGGUCAAUGGACGCAAGCCUGACCCAGCAACGCCGCGUGAAGGAAGAAGGCUUUCGGGUUGUAAACUUCUUUUAAGGGGGAAGAGCAGAAGACGGUACCCCUUGAAUAAGCCACGGCUAACUACGUGCCAGCAGCCGCGGUAAUACGUAGGUGGCAAGCGUUGUCCGGAUUUACUGGGUGUAAAGGGCGUGCAGCCGGAGAGACAAGUCAGAUGUGAAAUCCACGGGCUCAACCCGUGAACUGCAUUUGAAACUGUUUCCCUUGAGUGUCGGAGAGGUAAUCGGAAUUCCUUGUGUAGCGGUGAAAUGCGUAGAUAUAAGGAAGAACACCAGUGGCGAAGGCGGAUUACUGGACGAUAACUGACGGUGAGGCGCGAAAGCGUGGGGAGCAAACAGGAUUAGAUACCCUUGUAGUC
rnacentral:rRNA from 1 species